UAAGUACUCCCUUCGCCCGGAAAUACUUGUCCGAGGAAUGGAUGUAUAUAGAUGUAUUUUAAUUCUAGAUACAUCUAUUUGUAUCCAUUUCUAUGACAAGUAUUUUUGGACGGAGGGAGUAUGGA
rnacentral:pre_miRNA from 1 species